UGGGUGGGCCCAAGGCUCAUAGAUCUACGGAUGGGCUCCCGGGGCCUACACCGUGCCGCAGCUAAGACAACCACUCUGUUCUUCCGGUCUGGGCCACGUGGCACAACAUGAGGAAGGAGAUGUCGAAGAGCAAGGCGCGAACGGAGGCUGCUUUGGCUACGGAGAACAAGAUGGCUGACCCCACAGCCCCGAACAGGGCCCAGAGCCCUCAUCUGAAUCGGGAGGGGAUCAGGAUUUGCCUCAAGGAAGGUCAACCAAAAAAGUCAACAGUGUUUGAGAGCCCCUUAUUAACAACUGGGCACACCCGAAUCCCUCCACGUCCACCAUUCAAUGCCUCUCAUCUCAUCAAACACCUCCACCUCGUGCUCAGCUGCAAAGAAAAGAACACUUGACACCCAAAGACCUGGCCCUUCCCCCAGAGUCUCCCACUGGGAUGCUCUGGCUUGUCCUGGGCAUCUCCAGGGAGACCCAGACCCCAGUGCCUUGCCCCUAUUCUGCGACACUCCCUCCUUCAGACCUGCCUCCCUCACCCUGGACAGGGGCCCAGCCUUCCUUACUUGAUGAAUUUCCGGGCGAAGGAUUUAAGCUUCCCCGUGGCAGCAGCGGCAGCCAGCAGCAGAUCCAGACUCUUCCCGGACAGCAUGUGGCCCAGGACUCCUAGCAGGCCCUCUGGGGACUUGGAGUGGUCUGCAUCCAUCGUCUGGGGACAGGACAGGAAAUCAAGUCCUGAAGAACAACUGCAGAGCCCCUGAGAUAGAGCCCGACCACAGCUUCCCUCCCUGCAUGUCUCCAUUAAAUGGCAUACCGCAACCUC